CUCGAAUGGGCUGGGCUGGGCAUGCAGAGGGCAGUGCCUAGUGCCCAGGUGGAGGAUAGGACGAGAGCCCUUGGUGGGAGUGAUUGGUGCUGUUGUGAGCAGGGAAGCAUCCUCUGUGGGUGGUCUGCACCCUGGCCUCCUGGUCUUGAUGCAGACAGACAAGCACACUCUCUACUCUGCCUGGCCGAGCCUGGUUCCAGAGCUUAGGGUGGAGCCUCACUGUCAAUGUGUGCAGCACGGCUGAUGGGGUCACUUACACCAUGGAGGUUACUUACUUUGUUCUCUGGUGUCAAGGUCGGGGGCUGAAGCACACCAAGGUCACCAAGCUGGGCAGGCUCUCCCUUCCUGCUUUGGGGGCCUGCGAACUUGCCCCCUGGGGCUGCUCUCUGCACGCAAGUACGCGGCACGUUGCUCUGCAUGCACAGAGCCGACCUCCUGGUUUCCCUCGAUUAGACUCUUCAUUGGAGCCUCUUUAAAAGUCUCGCAGGAGCCUCUUAGUAUUCCAGCAGGGCUGUCUGCGGUAAUGUGCUGGAGGAUAUAGGUGCCACUCGUGAGCAGAGAGCUUGAAAAAUG
rnacentral:lncRNA from 1 species